GAUUCCUCGAACGCUGUGAACUUCGCGUUUCCAGAGGCUUAUGAACAUUCUAUCAAGAACCGCCGAUAUCACCGCCCCCGAAAAUGCUGAAUUUUCUAAUAAUUUUCAUUUGUCUGACGGAUAGGAACAGCACACGCUGAACU